CACCACUUACAGUUUGAAAGCUGACCCCCUGGGCUGGUAAAGCCAAGAUAUGCGUUUUGGUUAGACCAGGCGAAAACCACUGCUUACAAUAGCUAGGCUGUAAUUUAGCAGCGCCUCGCAACAAAUUUAGACAUAAUUCAGUCCUCGCAUGAGAACAUGGCAGCUCGAUCGCUUACCCACGUUGGAGAGGCCUCCCUUCUGGGCAAUCUUAUCCACGGCCGCCUUCACGUCCCGGGAGUUGGAGAAGGACUUCAGGCUGAUCUCUGUCACCGGGUCAUCUCUGAGGGACGAGGCGAGAGAAACGACACAAACCUAUUGUCACCGCAUUCACCUCAGUUGAUGACCUGGGCCACCUCCGCCAGGAAGUCCUUCUGGAUCUUGAAGCGACGCUUCCCGAUGCUCCAGCUGCCAUCCAUUAGGAAGGCCAGGUCCACCUUGCAGUCUGCAGUGGGGAAGGGGGGGGGGUCUCAGUGAG